rnacentral:lncRNA from 1 species
UCCGAGAGGUUACAGUCCACAGACUACAUUAACUUGCAUUAUUUAAGAUUUGAAUGGUUUCAGUUAUUGGGCCAAUCCAGGUUUCUGAACAAAUUGUGUGUUUAACAGCAAAAGAAAACUAGGGGUUGGUAUUAAUCCAUGUCGAGUUUUAUAAUUAUCAAAACUACGUGUACCUAACCAUUUACAUGGAUUCCACUACAACCGUUUUAUAUAUCUCUAAAGAUUAGAGGAAAAAAAAACACAAUCUUUCUGUCAUAUAUUCGAAAAAUCUUUAGUUUAAUUGUAGCCGCUAAUUUUUUUUUUUUUGUUUUCUUUUGAGCAACAGCCGCUAAAAUAUACUCCCUCCGUUUUUUAAUAUAAAUCGUUUUACAGUUAUGCACGUAGAUUAAGAAAACCAUUAAUUUUUUAUAUUUUCUAAACAAAAACAUCAUUAAUUAUUUACCUAACCACAAUUCAACCAAUAGAAAAAUAUAAGAUAUAUUACCAUUGGUCAUACAACAUUAAUUAUUAAUAAAUUUUACAUAAAAAACCGAAAACGACAUAUAAUUUGGCACAAAAAAAUUUCUCUAAAACGAUUUAUAAUAAAAAACGGAGGGAGUAUUAAAGAAAAAAAAGAAUACAAAGAUUAAAUAAAAAUGAAAAAGCUGACGUCAGGAAAUAAGAAGGGAUAAGAGAAGCACUACGAGAUGUUUCCCCCAUGUGACCUUCGUCAAUCUCCG